rnacentral:rRNA from 1 species
UGGGGAAUAUUGCACAAUGGGGGAAACCCUGAUGCAGCGACGCCGCGUGAGCGAUGAAGGCUUUCGAGUCGUAAAGCUCUGUCCUAUGGGAAGAUAAUGACGGUACCAUAGAAGAAAGCCCCGGCUAAUUACGUGCCAGCAGCCGCGGUAAUACGUAGGGCGCAAGCGUUAUCCGGAAUUAUUGGGCGUAAAGAGCUUGUAGGCGGUUCGUCGCGUCUGGUGUGAAAGCCCAUCGCUUAACGGUGGGUUUGCGCCGGGUACGGGCGGGCUAGAGUGCAGUAGGGGAGACUGGAAUUCCCGGUGUAACGGUGGAAUGUGUAGAUAUCGGGAAGAACACCAAUGGCGAAGGCAGGUCUCUGGGCUGUUACUGACGCUGAGAAGCGAAAGCGUGGGGAGCGAACAGG